rnacentral:rRNA from 1 species
UACAGAGGGGGCAAGCGUUAUUCGGAAUUAUUGGGCGUAAAGGGCGCGUAGGCGGCUUGGCAAGUGGAUGGUGAAAUCCCUCGGCUUAACCGAGGAACGGCCGUCCAAAACUGCUUCGCUUGAGACCGGGAGAGGUGAGUGGAAUUCCCAGUGUAGCGGUGAAAUGCGUAGAUAUUGGGAGGAACACCAGUGGCGAAGGCGGCUCACUGGACCGGUACUGACGCUGAAGCGCGAAAGCGUGGGGAGCAAACGGG